GUCCCACUUCAUCACAGGGUGCAUCUCUCAAACCCCAGCUGCCAGAGCCCUGGGAUUUGUUGAAACCAUCCUACAUCAAAGGACGGAGGAGCAUGCAGGUCCAGCCAUGCCAGUGAGGACUCAUAGGGCAUGAGGUGAAGCCCAGCAUUCCUGAGCAGCAGUAAUGUCAGGGGACAAAGGACUCAGUCUUACUCCUUUGACUUAGUUCCUGAUGACUUCAUUUUGGGGUCACCGAGGUAGGAGUGAUUAAACAAGGAAUCCAGCGAGGCUGUCUGUGCAAGGAAUGAGUUUCCCUCAGUGAUAGGUUCCAGGGUAUGGAUGCUUCCCCACCGCCCUGGAGAUAAUUUCACAAGACAACAAAUCUGCUCAGGGCCCUGCAAGAAGUGUUGCAGUGGGCGAGUGUUCACCCCGGACCUGGCUGAGAUCAUAGGUGAAAUGAGGUAGGUGGCUCCACCUUGUCACCAGAAGACGUCCCUCCAAAGUCCAACAUUGGCCCUGAGCAUCCUGGAUGGGAUCUGGACCCCAGUGAUAUCUCUGGCAAAGCUCCCACUGGCUUCCGAGGGGGCAGGAUUCCCCCCAUGGCUUGUCCACACUAGAUGUGAUGUUUCCAUUCUGCACGCAGCCAAGGCUCGAGAACCUGUGGUUGCUCCUAGGGGCAUUUCAGGGUGAUGGCUUGGACUCCUAAAGCAACCAGAGCUUUGAUCACUUCGUACAUUAGUUGGAUACCAUAAAAGCCAAGAUCAGCUUAACCCUGCCCUUCCCCCCUUGCUUCUCCCCGCCCUGUUCAUUCCCCAUGCACUUUAAUGCUCACUGGUCACUCCGUCAUGCCCGCUAGUUUCUGUCAUGACUGAGGUAGGGCGUCCCCCUUCCUGGUGACUGCUGCUGGUCUCCUGUGGCCAUGCCCUGCUCUUUCCCGCUGCUGGCGCACUGUCUGGGAGACUCUGCAUGGAGACUUCGGGUGUGGCAAACUGGGUGUAUCUCUGCAGCGCACCAGCCUGCUACGCACUAAGCGUCCGUGUGGACCUUGCUAGCGCGUGCUAACCGUGCGGGGGUGCACAUGGCCAUACUCGCAUUCCAAGCAGCAGUAGGUCUGUGCACGCCAGGGACCUGUGAGUACGUGGCAGCAGGCUCCACGUGGACAGAGCAUGCGUGGCAGGCUGGAGGUGCUGAAGAUGCACACCUGGGCUUGCUGUGCACCACGUCUCCGUGUGGACAAGCCCAAAGUCAGUGUCUUGGGUGUGACGCAGCGUGGGCAACCUUAACGUGGGCAUUUCCUGGCUCAAACCGUGCAACUGGAGGCUGAGAGGUCCAAAAAUAAGAGCCUAACUCGGAAGUCAGUGGCCCAAUUGUGAAAAGAACUGAGCAACUACCAGUUCCCAUUGGCUUCAGUGGGAGCUCAGCACGUCUGGAAGGGAGAUGACUGACGUAGAAGCAGAAGAAAUGAGGUGGUAUUACGUAGCAGACAGCGGUUGGUUAGACCAUUACUGGAGCCUGGGUCCAGCUCUGGUGUCUGCCCUCUGACACAGACGGUGAAAACUUGGAGAGGGUACUGAAAAGAGCCACAAGAACGAUUUGUGGGCCAGAAACCUGGAUUUUACCCCAUUGGAGCCGCUGGGAGCUCAGCGCUUUGAAAAGUGAGGCCACGUUAUUUAGGUAUCGAAACAGAAACAAAGGCAACCGGUUUUGAGACUCAUCCCCUGGUGUCCAAUAGCAAUACAUACAUACAUCUAUAUCUAUAGAGAAAGAAGAAGAGACCUCAGUUUGCUGCUGGCGCCUUGUGUGCGCGUUUAUGAAGCUUCCCGAUUAAAGUAGUUUAUGACUCUGAUAAAAGCCCAUUAACGGACUGAAAAGUGGAGAAUGCCAUAAAACCCAGGCAGAAAGAUUCCCUGGGUCUGCCUGUUACGUUGGCACAGAGGGCAGCAGCCACGCUCGUCUGUCACCGCGGUGCCUGGCUUGUCUCUUCCAGGUUUCACCACAGCCAGCGAACUUGCUCUGGGCUCGCAGGGCUAAUAGAGCUGGAUUGUGCACUGUCAUGUCUCACUUUGUCACAGCUGACAGAUAUCAAAUGAGCUACCCCCAGCAUUAUCCCCGCCGUUGACACAAGAGCUGCGUGCACCAGGCCAGUGAGGUGUAGCCAGACUAGGAUACCCUUCUCCAUUUAAUAGCUGUCUGCCUGUAGGUCAGCCAGGGGUUAUUUGUCACACAAACCAGGAAUGCUCACACUCCAGAACUAGCCAGAGAUUUGGAUAGAUAUCGGUUAUCUGCAUGGGAAGAAGCAAAUGUAAAGAAGAGAAAUUGUCCUGACUUGGCAGUUUUAUGGGCAUCUGAGCACACGAGCUUGGCCGGGGGCUGGGCUGACUGAGCGUUUCGCUAAAAGCAGACAUUCCCCUCCUCCACCCUAGGCAGCCUUCACUCCAGUGCAGCCCCCUGCUGACUCCCUGCGUCUCCUUGGCCCGCUAAGGUCUGUAGGCGCCUGACUUCUGCUGAAAUCCAUGACAGUUAGGAGCCUUUGUGGAUCCGGGCCUUCAUGUCUCUGUGCCUCAGAUCCCAUCUGUGCCAUGCAGAUAACAGGCCUACCCUGCCUGAUGGGUGUGUGAGGAAAAACACAUUAAAUACGGCAAGGUGCUCAGAGAGAAAGAGAUCCCUCCCUACCCUCUCUACCUGUCUGGCUUUCAUGUUGUCAGGGCACACUGACAUUUGUGCCCAGCCAGCCAGGCACACAGGCUUGACAGGCUGGGAUGGUUUCAGUUCCUUACCCCUGAGUUUCAGUCAUCAAGGAAAUACUAACCGGGAUUUGGUGUUUACUGGAUGGACAAGCAUGGGAGAGGCCAAUCAAUUUCACGGUGGCCUGGAGCGAAAUUGCUGGAUAAGCCGAUGAGGAAUGGGCACCGCUGUGACCUUUCAUAUCUGGCAGUAGCAGAGAACAGAACAUGCUCACCUCUCCACCUGGUUGGAAAUUGAUUAAAAAGCCACAGGUCUUUGUUAGA